rnacentral:rRNA from 1 species
UAGGGAAUCUUCCACAAUGACGCAAGUCUGAUGGAGCAACGCCGCGUGAGUGAAGAAGGCUUUCGGGUCGUAAAACUCUGUUAUUGAAGAAGAACGUGUGUGACAGUAACUGGUCAUGCAGUGACGGUAUUCAAUCAGAAAGUCACGGCUAACUACGUGCCAGCAGCCGCGGUAAUACGUAGGUGGCAAGCGUUGUCCGGAUUUAUUGGGCGUAAAGCGAGUGCAGGCGGUCUUUUAAGUCUGAUGUGAAAGCCUUCGGCUUAACCGAAGAAGGGCAUC